CAGGAAUGCUGCACAGGAACUGGAAGAAGAAGGUGCUCUAAGAGUUUCUUUACCAUAUUGCUCCAGAUGGUUCAUGUGAUUAUGGAAAGUCUGAUUCUGGAAGGAAUUGUCAGCUCAACCCAUCCCCUCUGAGAAACUGAGUGAUUGUAGGCUCCUUUUUCAUGGCUCUAUUGCAUCAAGCACCAGAACUCCUUGUUAAUAGCAUGGGCCAUAUGUUGCUCUCACUAAACAGCACAGUGCAGAGCAAAGGAAUAAAAAUACAAGUGCAAUGAAGCCAGAGUACACACACCAAGGAGAAAAAGACAGACCAGCUUCCAUAACAAGACCAGCAACAGAAACGCCACUGGACAAUGGCCAAUGGCAAAUAUGACGCAAAUAUGAUUAUGAUGAAUACUUAAAUUCCCAGGGGAGCACUGAGUUCUUAUGGUACAACCUUUACUAGUGAGAGCCAAAUCAACACAGAAACAUGGAAGCUCUGCCUUUGAAAGCCCAGAGAAUCUUAAUCCAAGUAAGUAUUUUCCAUUUGCAGCAACAGUAUUUUGCACUUGCAACAUAGGCAAAACGUUAUUGCUUUUCUGU
rnacentral:lncRNA from 13 species